AUUGAACGCUGGCGGCAGGCCUAACACAUGCAAGUCGAGCGGAUGAAGGGAGCUUGCUCCUGGAUUCAGCGGCGGACGGGUGAGUAAUGCCUAGGAAUCUGCCUGGUAGUGGGGGAUAACGUCCGGAAACGGGCGCUAAUACCGCAUACGUCCUGAGGGAGAAAGUGGGGGAUCUUCGGACCUCACGCUAUCAGAUGAGCCUAGGUCGGAUUAGCUAGUUGGUGGGGUAAAGGCCUACCAAGGCGACGAUCCGUAACUGGUCUGAGAGGAUGAUCAGUCAACCUGGAACUGGGCCACGGUCCAGCCUCCUACGGGAGGCCGCAGGGGGGAAUUUUGGACAAGGGGCGAAAGCCUGAUCCAGCCAUGCCGGGGGUGUGAAGAAGGUCUUCGGUUUGUAAAGCAUUUUAAGUUGGGGGGAAGGGCAGUAAGUUAAUCCCUUGCUUUUUUGCCUUUCCCAACAGAAUAAGCACCGGCUACCUUCGU
rnacentral:rRNA from 1 species